UACGAGUGGUACGGACGUUAUUCGGAACUAUUGGGCGUAAAGGGUGCGCAGGCGGCGCAUUAAGUCAACUGUUAAAUUCUUCGGCUUAACCGGGGUUAGGCAGUAGAUACUGGUGUGCUAGAGGGUGGAAGAGAGAGGUGGAAUUUUUGGAGUAGCGGUAAAAUGCGUAGAUCUCAAAAGGAACACCGAUGGCGAAGGCAGCCUCUUGGUCCAUUCCUGACGCUCAUGAACGAAAGCGUGGGGAGCAAACAGG
rnacentral:rRNA from 1 species